UCCACAUAGGAUAUUAAGGUUAGCAGAUCUCCAAAAUAAUGACCUCAUGCCAAUGGAUGGCUAUGUCUAUAUACCAUCUUUAGGAGUACAAGAGAGUGGUUUUUCUCUUUCGCAAUACUUCUACUUGUUAUUUAGAUUCUUUAUGAUUUCAGGUUUAUAUUAUUGUCCAUUGUAGAUGUUACAAGUUAAUAUGCAAAGCAGAUUGAUUUCUUCAGAUAGUUUGUGGUUCCUUUGUUUAUUCAGACUUUGUUCAUGAAUCAUGGCGACUUCUUUUUUCUUUUCACUUUGUAUUGAGACAGUUCGCUGUGUAUCUGUG